GGAUCCGAUCAUACCAGCACUAAAGCACCGGAUCCCAUCAGAACUCCGAAGUUAAGCGUGGUUGGGCGAGAGUAGUACUAGGAUGGGUGACCUCUUGGGAAGUCCUUGUGUUGCAUUCC
rnacentral:rRNA from 2 species